GACGACUUUUUAUUGAGACCAAUUUGGCCUGGGGAGAACCGCCUUCAGGCGUUUGGACUCAGUGGAGGUUGUGAGUGCCCAGCAGUGUGGCCUGAAUCUCCGUGGGGUUUAGGGAGACGAAAGGACCCCAGAUCGACGUCCCCUCGUUCCCACUUUGGGGAUCGGCGCUCUGGCUGUUUCGUGAAGGAGAGAGAGGAACUCAGAGUGGUUUUCCAGAUGGGAAUCACAUUGCUCUCUGUCCCUGAGAUCUUGCUGGAGACAGGGCUACUCAGUCCCUCUUUGCCAGGUAAUCUGUUCCAGAAGAAACAUGUGUCGUUCUGACUGAGCCCCUGCCUGUCUGUCACCUUAAGAGCCAGUCAAUUCAUAUGGUCCCCAUAUCAAAGUCUCCUGUGCCCAGAGAGAGGAUUUCAUUUCAACCAUCACCAUCACCACCAUCAUCAUCAUCAUCACCAAGAGAUUGAUAUUGGAAAAGCAGUUUCUAUUGAGCCCCCAAAUGAAGAGUGAGUGCAGAUGAAGAGGAGGCAGGACUCACAAGCCCUUGACCUUCAUUCCAGAUCUGUUAGCACCUACAGGACCCUGCACCAGGAUUUCAUCUGUACUAUCAGCUUCUUCAAAGAGAGAGAGGUUGUUGAAUUGAUAUUGGAAAAGCAGUUUCCCAUUGAGUCUCAAAUGAAGAGAGUGCAGAUGAAGAGGAGGUAGGAGUCACAAGCCCUUGACCCUCAUGCUAGACCCAUUACCAUCCACAGGACCUUGCAGUGGGAUUUCAUCUGCACCAUCAGCUUCUUCAGAGAGAGAGGUUGUUGACUCUUCAUGUGGAUGUCUGAGCUCAUAUCAGGUGUCUGAAAGAGGCAGAUUCUGAGGAUUUGGGUCAUGAUGGCUGCCAAAGCUUCUACUCCUGACUUAAAGGGCAACAAUCCUAGGAGACCACCAGCACUUACAUCCCUGGUAGGACAUGACACCUGCUUAUGGCUCAGAAGUGACAAAAGAGAAUUAUCAGGAUGGCAGUCCUUAUAACCAGAUGCUUAUCAACAUUCUUCACUACAUUCUGAAGAUGAAUUUCUACAAGGGAAAUUGUUUAUGGAGGCAGCAGAUGGCUGAAAUUCUGAUCUGAUGUGGCUGGUUAAUGCAUGAUCUGAAAACCCCUGCACUGGUGAUUUUGGGACAGAUCUAGAAUAUACCAAUAAAUAUAUUAACAUACCAAGUAGUCUAGGAGCAGCCACUGGGCGAACACCAAACCUUGCAUCCCUGGUGCUGUCUCUGAGCUCAGCAGACACGUCUUUGCAGAAGAGUUCUAUAAUGGUGGUACAAUGGCGCCCCCUCGUGACAGAAGCUUGAACUACAGCUUGAACUUCGUGUGACAUGAUGAAUGAAUUUAUUGAGCCCCAGGAAGAAGGAAAAUUAAAGAAGAGCAAAGAAUAAUAGCUGGACAGAAGAUGGGGGUCAUUGAACCUAUAUCCUAGUUGCCAGACCAGUAAACUGACCACGGGACCUGGGGGAGGCAGCAGAUGACCGAAAACCUGGAGUGAUGUGGCUGAAUACCGCAUGAUCUGAAGACUGCACUGGUGGCUGCGCCUUUUCAGCCUGGUUAGGAAACAUUGCUGGGGAACUAGUGCAGUGAUUUGGAGCUGUGCUCUCUCUCUCUCAGUGCUCUGAGAGUGUAGGCUCCUUUCCCACUCAAGUGCUGGCUGCAGAUCUGGGUUUGGCACUCCUGGAUGUCACACUGCAGCCCCGGGUCCAAGGACAUCGAGCACAGUACCUUUGCAGUGGCAGUGUCAGAGGGACUUUCAGUUGUCUCUGGGAGCCCCACCUCACAGAAAUGCAGAGCGUCUGCUAAUGCAAGUGUUCAGCCAGAGGGUGAGGUGGCUGUGCCAUGGGCCUGAGCUGGGAGCCCUUCUUGGUGAAGAGUAAAGGGUCAGGGACUCACACGAAAGGGAGACUGAGUUCCUCUCCAUAUGGUGACUGUGGCAUGCUAGAGACAUGAGUAAUGCCCUCAGGCUCUUUGUUCCUUCCCCAGUCCAAAGACAACAAGGUCAAAACCACUGCAGUGGCAGUGGUAAAGGGGCUGUCUGUUGCCACUGGGAACUCCACCCCAGGGAAACACAGAGCCACUGCCAGUGGGAAUGCUUAGAUGGGGGUGGCGUAGCUGCCCUGUAGUCCCAAGCCAGGGGCCUUUCCUGUUGAAGAGUAGGGAGUGAGGCCUCACAGGGAAGACAGACUGGGCUCCUCCCCAUAUGGUGGCUGUGGUGUGCUGGUGGUGCCAGCAAUGCGACCUGGACCUUUGUUCCUUCCCCAGCCCAAAGGCAGUAAGGGCAGUACCACUGCAGCUGCAAUGAGAGGGGCUGUGGGUUGUCUCUGUGAUUUCCUCCCUAGAGAAUGACAGAGCUGCCACUGACUUAAAUGUUUGGGCGGGGACAAGGUGGUUGUUCUGGGGGCCUGGGUUGAGAGACCCUGCCCACUGAGGAGUAACAGGGCCAGGGCCCAUGUGGAAGAGAGUCUGCCUUCUUAUCUAAAAAGCAGCUGCACUGUGCUGGAGGAUUGCAUUAGUCCUAAGUCUUUUGGCUCCCUCCUGAGCCUGAGGGAAACAGAAGCAGGAGCUGCAGAGCAGCAAAAAUGGCAGACCUGCCUGCUACAAUUGAGAGCUCUGUCCCAGGGAAGUACAGAUCCCCCAGGGGGAUCUGCUACUGGCCCAAGAGCCCAGACAUGGGUGGGGUGGCUGGAGUCCCAAGUCUGGAGGCCCUGCCCAGUAAGAAGUAGUGGGGACAGAGAUCUAUGUGGAAAAAAGUCUGGCCACUUUUCUGUAAGGCAGCUGUGCUGUGCUGGGGGCCUGCAUUAGUCCUUAAUCACCCUGCCAAGACUGGGGGACCCGUCUGCUACCACUGAGAGCUCCAUUCCAGGGAAAUACAGGGCUGCUAUUGGCCCUAGAGCUCAAGUGAGGCUGGAGUGGCCAUGCUAGGGACCCAGCCAAGUGGGCAUUAUCCAGCAAGGUGCAAUGGAGGUGAGGCCUGCAGUCCAUCUGCUCCUCAGCCCCGUGGAUUUAGCCCCUAUACUGGAGGCAUUCCAGGGAGCCUGGCCUCUCUUGUUGCCAGAGCUACAGCCACUGGUGCUGGGGUGCCCAGCAGUCCAAGGGCCCUGGAGCUCCAUGUGUGCCUGAGCAGUGGCUCUGCCUAGACUCCAUGUAGCUCUCCAUGUCAGUCUGCAGGCUCUGCUCAGGGAGUCAGGGGGAUCUUCUGAGCACAGGGUUGUGAAGAUCUGUAGCAGAAGCUUUAGUGAAAUUUCAGACAUUAACAACAAAGUUUCCCUGAUUUAUUUAACUUCUCCUAACUUUCUAUAACCUGAUAUAAAAUGGACAUUUAAUUAUAAAUUACUUGAGUAAAGGUUAAGAUUAAUGAAAAUACUACUCAAGUAACUUAUAAUUAAAUGCCCAUUAUCAUCAUCAGCAUCAUCAUCUAAAGGGGUUAUUGAGUAGGCAUCCAUGGGGUGGUGUGAAAUGACCAGCCCCUAAGCCUUGGUGGCCCAUUAUCUACAGAAGAUAUCACUGGGCACAUUAAAUGUUUUCCAACCUUCUUUCGUUAUCCAAAGGAGCCUUAUUAGACAUGUUUUUCCUCCUUAUUAGUCCCUUCUUGCCUGAAAUGUGAAAUUUUAAUACCACAGAUAUAGUGUUAACUGUUUAUGUAUUUUGGUCCUAUGUAGUGCCACAAACCAUUUUAAUGUCUACUAUCUCCCUAACCUUAAAAACCAAUUCUCAGCCCCUUGGGGGCAAUAUAUCCUCUGUUGAAAAUGCAUGGAACAUUUUAAAGAGGACAAAAGCUGGAACCUCAUUCCUGCCUUUUACUUGAUGUGUGACACUGGAAAACUUCCUUAACCUCUGUCAGCUUUCCCAUGGUCAUCCGGAAAAGGGAACCACUGAGAGCUCAUGAUGCGUUACUUACAGAACUCUCCUGUGGGGUAAAUGAGAAAUCCUAUACAGAGAAGAUGGCACCUAGAGAAAUCCUAUACAGAGAAGAUGGCACCUAGUCUUCAACAAAUGUUCAUCCUGGCCCACUUUUCUUCUCCUUCCCAGAGAAGUGAUGACUGUCAUCUAAACCAAACAGCAUAACUACCACAGAGACCAGCUGGUAAUGGAGCAGGAAGAAGUAGCAUAUACUUACAUUUAGUUUAUAAAUGAAGCUUUGGGGCUAUUUCUGUGAUGCAGGAUGGCUUUGCCAAGGAAUGUGGGAAGAGGGAAAAGAUCAUCAAACCAUUUCUUUAAUUCUGUGUCAUUUUUGCCCCAUUAUUUGAGCUUCUAUACUGAUAUUGGAAAAAUAGUUUCCUAUGGAGUCUCAAAUAAAGAGAGAGAAGUCACAUGCCCUUGACCCUCAUACCAUUACCACCUACAGGACUCUGAACCAGAAUUUCAUCUGCACCAGUGGGUAAUUCAAAGUGGGAGGAGUUGUUGAAUGUGUAUCCAUGAGGGCACAAUACUACAAACGUGUAAAACUACUAGGUUUUAAAUCCUAGAAUGUCAUGGUGUAUAAAAUAUUGAUAAUUAUUGCUUUGGUUUUGAAUUAGGGGAAAAUAUAUCCUCGUAUACUUGGAAGUGGCUCCCUCAGUAUCUUUUAUUCUUGAGCUUCAGGGAUAUUCUUCAUUCUAAAUGUAUAUCUCUUUCCUGUGGGUGGGGUAAGGAAUGCUUGAAUGUUCCUGACAAUGUUUUUGUAUAAUUGCAGGAGCAUUUGAUAUUUAUUACAGUUAUAAAUACAUAAGAAAUGAAAUAAACAGCAUUACUCUAAAACAAAAGAGAAUACCUGCUCUCAAAAUAUCUUGAAUAUUUCAAAGAGAAUACCUGCUAAUGCUUAUAUCUGUAUAAUAUUCUUUCACAAAUUUUCUUAUGCAGGUACUUAUAAAUUUAUGCAGAAAUGAAUACAUUUAUAUACUUAUCUACAAAAUAUAAGAUCUCAUUCUACAUUUAGUUUUAUAACCUGCUUGUCUCACUAAAACCAUACCUCAAAGGUCAUUGGUUGUGAGUAAAUAUGAGUCUUUACCACAGAGAUAGUAAAUACUAAUGGCCAAUAAAGACAGAGAAACAAAUAUGGCUACAAUAUAUUAUGUGCCAAGUGCUUUUUAGCUAUUGAGUCGUUCAAUUCUCACGGCACCCUUACAAGGUUGAAACUGUUGCUGAUCUCCAUUUUGUAGAUGGAAAACUAAGGAGCAGAUAGAAUAAAAAUGUUACCUGAGACUGCACAGUUAGGGAGUGGGACAGCUUGGAUUUAUGUUCAGUACAUCAUGCUGCAGAGCCUGGGAAACUGUCAAGGCUCUGUUGUUAGGUGAAAGAAGCAACUACACAAGCAUGCAUAUUUUAGGAGCUCAUUAAAAGUAAUACUUCACAGGUUAAUACAUUUACACAAAAAACUGGACCUGGUGACAAAUAGGUGGAUUGCAACCUUGGUAAGAUCAUGUUCAUUGCAAUCCUGGGGACAGAAGCCACAGUGCAGGGGGAAGUGAAGAAUUUUAACAGGAAAUGUGAAAACUCUCUUUGGUAGUUUAACUUUGAAGGGAAAGAGAUGGAGAUUCUGGCUGAAUGGGGAGAUUUAAAAAAAUAAUCAAUUUCUUGAAACUUGAGAAGGUUUUAAAAUGAAGAUACUUAGGGGUUUUGGUAAAUGAGAAGAUUUUAGCUGUUCUUGCCAUGCACAAAAAAAUGGGUAACUAUGUGGUAUUAUGAAUAUAUUUAUUUUCUUCACUAUAUAGUAACUAAUACUUUACUUUCUGUAUGUAUCUUAGAACAUCAUGUUGCAUAUCUUAAAUAUAGACAAUAAAUGUAUUUUUAAAAGUUAACGUGAUGAAGCUAUCUUAUCUCAGAUUUAACACUAGAAAUUGCUCUUUUUUUUUUUUUUUUUUUUGGCUGGAGUACAGUGUUGCGAUCAUGGCUCACUGCAGCUUCAACCCCCUGGGGCUCCUGUGAUCCUCCCAGCUCAGCUUCCCGAGUAGCUGGGACCACAGGUGCAUAUCAACACACCCAGUUAAUUUUUUUUGUUUGUUUAUUUUUGUAGAGACGGGAGUCUCUUUAGGUUGCCCAGGCUGGUCUCGGACUCCUGGGCCCAAGUGAUCCUCCCACCUCGACCUCUUAAUGUGCCGGGAUUAUAGGUGUGAGCCACUUCACCCAGCACAUUUUCUUUCUUACGCUCUUAUUUUCACUUUAGAGCUCAUGAGAGGCCUCUAGUCGACUAGUAUGAGUUUUGAGCUAAAUAUGUAUUUAGUUAUUAGUGAGAAAAUGGACAAUGGGCAAUUGUGAGUCAAAUAAAUGCUAAAUUUUUGCCUCUCCAAGAAGGCAGCAGGUGGCUGAAAUCCUGGUGUGAUAUGGCUGAAUAAUGCAUGAUCUGAGGACCCUGUACUGGUUACUCCUGUACACGUUCACAAUUUUUCUGUAAAUGUAUUAAUAUACUGAGCAGUCCAGGAGCAGCCAUUAGGCAAACACCACUCCUUGCUUCCUUCAUGUGACCUAUCACUGAGCUCACCAGCUGAGGUCAAUUACAUUCUUCCCAACCUGGAGAACAGAAUUUGGGUCUGCUCAGAGGCAUGAUGUGAAACAUGUCUGGGAUAAAAGCUUUGUUCUAUUGACAGCAAACCUUUUUGUGUUAAGGGGUAGGGGAAGAGCAAGUGAAGGAUGCAGAUUAAUUUCUAUUUAGGAGUAUACUUUUAUAUAUUGUUUGAAAUUUUGUCUUAUAAAAAUAUUCAUACAAAUUUAAACAAAAAAUUACUUGUGAACAGAUUGACAAAUGUCAUGUGCACACAUAUUUAUUAAUUUGAAAAAGCAUUCACUGUGUUAAAUUUAUGGUGAAAUAAAGUUGAUUAAACUUUGAAA